CUUAAAUGGGUUGUAUACAGAUAACCAAGCAAAAGCAAUAUAAAAGACAUGAAAAUGAAGAUAUAUGGAUUUUGAUAGCUAAAAAGAGAAUAAAAAUUAAGAAAAAAAAAAAGGGUAGGUCAAAGGGUUAACUGGAAGGUCAAUUUUCUAGCUAUAAAAUGUUCAACCUUGCACCUCUAGUUUUAUAUGGUUUUGGUAG
rnacentral:lncRNA from 1 species